AUUGAACGCUGGCGGCAGGCUUAACACAUGCAAGUCGAGCGGGGGAAGGUAGCUUGCUACUGGACCUAGCGGCGGACGGGUGAGUAAUGCUUAGGAAUCUGCCUAUUAGUGGGGGACAACAUCUCGAAAGGGAUGCUAAUACCGCAUACGUCCUACGGGAGAAAGCAGGGGAUCUUCGGACCUUGCGCUAAUAGAUGAGCCUAGGUCGGAUUAGCUAGUUGGUGGGGUAAAGGCCUACCAAGGCGACGAUCUGUAGCGGGUCUGAGAGGAUGAUCCGCCACACUGGGACUGAGACACGGCCCAGACUCCUACUGGAGGCAGCAGUGGGGAAUAUUGGACAAUGGGGGGAACCCUGAUCCAGCCAUGCCGCGUGUGUGAAGAAGGCCUUAUGGUUGUAAAGCACUUUAAGCGAGGAGGAGGCUACUCUAGUUAAUACCUAGGGAUAGUGGACGUUACUCGCAGAAUAAGCACCGGCUAACUCUGUGCCAGCCGCCGCGGUAA
rnacentral:rRNA from 1 species